AAUGAACGCUGGCGGCGCGCCUAAUACAUGCAAGUCGAGCGAGAAGACGUAGCAAUACGUUUGUAAAGCGGCGAACGGGUGAGGAAUACAUGGGUAACCUACCCUCGAGUGGGGAAUAACUAGCCGAAAGGUUAGCUAAUACCGCGUACGCUUCUUGGACUUCGGUUCAGGGAGGAAAGCGAUGCCGAGGGUAUCGCGCUCUUGGAUGGGCUCAUGUCCUAUCAGCUUGUUGGNGAGGUAACGGCUCACCAAGGCUUCGACGGGUAGCUGGUCUGAGAGGACGAUCAGCCCACAC
rnacentral:rRNA from 1 species